ensembl:lncRNA
UCAGUAGCUGUGUUGUUGUAAUGGCACUUUUUGUCAUCUACCAUUUACAUACUAUAUAGGCUGGUUAAAUAGACAGAAAAGUUCCCAUGACAAUGCCCUUCCCCCAGUGAAUAUCAGUAGAAGUGAAAGUAAAAGUAACCAUUUUAAAAUACACAAUGCAAACCUGCAAUCCUUGGGUCUCAUGAAAAGUAUUUAUGUUUGGGAUCAUUUCUGUGUAUUAAUGGAUGGAUGUACUGACAACAGGAAUUGUAUCAUCUUACUGCCUUUAAGACCUUACUAACCCACAUCGUGCGAGAUACAGAAAGUGUCAAAAGACUUAGACAUUGCAAGCGUGGCUGAAUCAGCCCUGAAGAUCCACACGGAAAGGAAGAAACACAAUCUGCAGUGGCCCGGAAUGGCACCAAUUAUAUUGCGUGACUUUGUCUCAGUACCACCUAAACUGCACAACCAGAAGGAAAACCCGAUUAACAGAUCAAUAUUUAACAUGCAUCCUCUACAAACCUUUCUUCAUGGGCGUAGAAUAACGAUUCAUGGUGUGCAGAGAUCCUGUGGACAAUGAAAAGUGUAGUCUCUUCUCCUGCGUAAGUGCAGAGGACAACAACAACACACCUUUUCCGUUGAUAUUUCCUGACAGUGCUAUUUCCAAAUCUUAUGCAUUUGGGGGGAAUAUUGCAUACAUGAUUAAUCAUGGUUUUGCGCCUUAAUUUAUACACAGCCGCCGAGACAGUUUGCCGAAGAACGAUGGGUAUGUGCUGCUUUCUAGCGAAUCCCUGAAAAAAACACUUUAACUCCCAACCGUAUUGUUUGUGUUGCAUUUAGUGGUGUGAUACAAAAGCUGUGUGGAUACUUUAAGUAACCAGGGAUUUUAUUGUGCACUUGUUUCUUGUGUGUAGCAGACAGACACCGUCUUUGGUUCAGACAGCAACCUGUGCAUUUGAUAUGAUAAACUCCUAAGCAAUGACAACCCGCAUGCAUUAUAUAUUCACAUUGACACCAUUGAAGACGAAGUCCAGGCCUCGAUCAUUGGGUGUUUAUGUUGAAAACCAAAAUCCAUCCCGAAUUGGAAAUGGCGAUCCGUAAUGGUAAGGUGUACACGAAAAUAUCAUGCAAAUAAAUGGAGUGAACAUUAUUCACACUGGGAAACAGUGCCGCGAGAAGCUUAAAAAAUAAAAAGUUGUUAGUUGUUAUUUAUACUUGUUUUGCACAUUCAUAUUUUGCACCUACAUUUUUAGAGAGAAAUAAACAUUUGUGUAACCAAAUGUAUAGUGGCAGUUUGAGUAAAUCUGAAAACCGAAGAACUCCCACAAUGUCUUGCUUACUUCUGAAAUAAUUAAAUCACAACAGAAUAAGAAAAAUGUUUAUGUGCGAUAGCGUGAUUCCGUCUCAGUCAUUUCAAGGUCAAUGUCCGUAACAGCUCGUAAAAUCCAAUAAAUCACAAUCAACAGCCGCACAACUUGAAUCUCAUCCAUGGUUACUGUGCAAUGUCGCUUUGUAUGGCGUACGUAGGUCAGAGUGAGUGUUACGAACCCUUUGGAUCUAGCAGUCCAGGGUGGAUGGUACAGAUACCCGUAACAUAAAACUCAUGCAAAUAAGCAUAGACUGUAUGCAAAUAAGUGUAAUGUAAAUGAACAGUGAGAACCAACGACACAGACAACCAAAGCUACCGUCAAACAUAAAAUGUUAAUUAUAAACACGCAUAGUCCAAACACCCCUGAACUGAACUUGCCUGCCACAAGAACCGCUUGGCUGCACUACUAACCAAUAAAAAAAAACAGUGGGUGGUCAACUCUGUUCUAACUGUUGUUUUUAGACAAAGUUUUCCUACGGGAAAACUACAACCCCUUGCCGUAUGUUUAUAAUCAAAAAGUUAUGUUUAUAAUAACAUUUACAUUUUUGACGGUUGCUUUGGUUGUCUUGGUCUUUUGUAAUCACUGUGACUUAAAUAAAAAUGUUGUUCAUUGUCGGUCAUUUUUUUUGUCACAAAGUUUGAACUUACUGUUUUUAUCUAUUAUACAUAGGUUAUUUGGAAGUUGCAGUAGGUUGACGUGGCUUCACAGAUGAUUGCAUCACUACUUCAAAUA